ensembl:lncRNA GLIDR glioblastoma down-regulated RNA
AUAUUUAAUUACAAGUGUGCCCCUGGUAGUCUUUAACUGAAGGGCACUGACUGGGUCACUGGUGAAGUUCCCCGCAGGAACUGAGUCAGACCCCAUCUCAGGGCCCUGCACAAGAUAGGUGCCUGCUCUAAGGCGUGGACCCUCGCCACAGCCCUGGCCCGUCUUGACGGGCGAGGGUUACUGUACUUGUCCCAACCGUACAGAUGAGAAAGCUGAGACUCAGGGCCAGCAACCCGGGUCCCAGCGGAGCGCCCGGCACACGCCGACACUUCAGCACCAGUGGCGGUGGCCACCACUGUGGGCGGAGAUGGCUGCGACGCGUGCGCAGGUAAAGUCUAUGCGCGCCUUGCCUCCCACCGGCGCCUUCCCCGGCCUCUGGUUUUUGUCCCCGCCAGCGGCUCCGACUCCAUCGCGUCCUCUUCCAGUCUAGUGCUUUUUUCCAGAUCUCGAUCCCAAACUCCCUCCUGCCAGAAUCUGGACCCGAAUCCACCCAUUGCCCGUUUUCCGCUGCCGCUGGAGAGAAUCUCUGAGGUCCCCAGGAGAGCCUGCCUGCACGGAAGAGACGCCUCCUCGUGCUUCCCUUGCAGGUGAAAUGGCCACCAGACCCAGGCUUUCUGGAAUGCAUUCAUUUUCUGCAGUUGAAAGGGACAAUCCCGGAUCUGAAAGAAAGAGCCACAGUGACUCCAAGAGUGGAGCCAGGGCAUGCUGGACACUGCAUAGCUAUGGCCACGUGUGUCACCUCCGAGGGAGAUGUGAGAGAAACGCAGAGGGAUCGCUUGUGACUGUGCCUUCUCGAUGUAUGAUGGACUGUUCUGCUCAAAUAGCAGCAGUAGGGCUUAUGGGAGCCAUUGUACAGUGACAGGAACAUACCAGGACACUGAGAAUAGCGUCAUGUCAUAAGGACUCAGAGCAGGUGGACCCUGCUGUGAUGCACAAAGGUGAGGGUGCAGCUGCCCAGGACACACUCAUGCAUGUUUGUGUGGACCAUGGAAGAUGGCAGGGGAAGAGCUGUCAGGUUGCUGGGGCAGAGGGUGCGCAUGAGUACUCGCCUAGGACCAUGCAAGAUAUGAUAAAGAUCUAUGUCACUGAAUUUUGUUUCUGUAUUUGUAUCUCAGCUUCCCAGAAAUAAAAAAGAAUUCUAACAUUCAUACUUUCAGUAUUUUAUGUGAGAGGUUUUGUUGUCAAAAUCAAGUCUGAGAGCAAUGUUUAUUGGGGCCUUUCAUUGGAGUCACCAAGCAAUAAAGGGGACAUUGUCUUCAACAAUAACCCUAUAAUAAACACGUUUUGGACAAUAAA